AAUCUUUGCAUGUUGUGGCCUGAUGCUUUGUUGCUCUGCUGUUAUUGCUGUACUUCCUAUUGUGCUAUACUGAGAUGCUGUUGGAUCUUAAAACCAAUCUAAAAGCUUUGUAAUCAGAGACUUCGAAUUAUCCUUGAAGAUCCUGGGAGUUGAUAAGCAUGUAUCAGUCUCAUAAAAAUGAGAGCAGAGGUGUUUCUUUCUUUCUUUCUUUUUUUUUUCAAAAAAGAAAACAAAAAGCAAGUAUUCUAAUAUUUCACGUUGUGGUGGUUUCGUGGUUUUUUUUGUUGUUGUUGUUGUUGUCAGUAUUCCACUUCAGAACAUUACGUGGAGUUAACGAGUGAAUGUUCUGGUUCCGUUUACUCCUGACUGGGAGGGGAGGGGGCGGCAUCCCUGGAGGACCUGGCGGGAAGAGGAAGCGGGGGAGCUGCGGACGGGACGCGGAGCGGCUGCCUCUCUCCGUCUGGCCCAGCUCAGCCCGCCGCGGGGAAAGCACGUGCUUCCCUCGCACUGUCCUGGUUUGACUCUCAUUUUGGAUACCCUUGUUUUUCUGAUUUUGUUUUAGUUAGCUUCAGUAAAUUGCCCUUCCUCCUCAGGUCGUUGCCGUUGUGUUUUCUCUUUGUUAAAACUGUCAGCUCGCUCUCUGCCCUUCCCCCUCUCCCGGAGCGCACGUGGCCCGGGGCCGGCCGGGUCGUGGCAAACACUUCUACCCCUUUUUUUUCCCUCUUCUUCCUGUAGCCUGUGCCCCUCGUCACGGACUUAGAUCUAAGGAUAACCCUGCUGCUUGAGGAAAAUAAUCCUGCUCCCACAGGAUAAUGCACUCAUGGGAAACUGCCACGUGGGUGAAACACUUCAUGAAGAGUUGGUUGUGCAGAUGGAGGUACAGAAACGCUCUGUGUUGGCAGUGAAGUGAUCACAUCUGUUAAGGAAGUUUUGAGCUCUAGGAGCUGCUGUGCAUGGGAGGAUUGAAAUGAUAAGUGAGAAUUUCCCCCUUUUAUUAACUCUGCUUUUCUGAAAGAAGUCAGCGAAGACAGGUAUGGGAAUAAUUCCUUCUGGAGAGGAGUGUUCUGAACUGACUUGUCAGCUAACGAUUCUGUUCUUUUUGGGUACGAGAAGCACGUGUUGCUUGACAAAAUGUGUAAUUAAAGGUCAGGAUGUUUUGAGAACGAAUUAACUCAAGUCCUAGGAUUGAUGAUAAAAGUCCUGAUGAUAAAAGGAGCCAUUUCUUUAAUGUCACUGAAGGCAAGUAUGGAUUCACAUUUCUGAAAUCCUUUUGCACUUUUUUUUUGGAAAUGGUGUUGGCUGAUUUUUUUUUUUUUCAAGAGCAGUAAAAUGAUGUUCUUUCAGGGUUUAAUGUGGCCAUAGCUACAGAUUAACACACUGGGAAUAUCUUCAUUCUGUCAUCUCUCUGCUUCUCUAUGGGGAAAGCAGCUGACGUGGUUAUUAAAUCUGGCAGCUGCGUUGUGUGCAUGUGGGAAGUGAGCAGAGUACAGCAUACAGAAAACCAGUAGCUUCCUUUCACUGCUACGAGGCUUGAAAGGCAGACUAAAAAUCUUUCUCCUUUUGUAAUCACCAGUUGGUGGAACAGUGCACAAAUACUCCAAAUACAGUGGCAAAUUUGCAAAAUUGAAUUCCUGCUAAUCUACACAUAAACUGUGAAAACAUGAGGGCUCCCCCAAAAGUAACGGCAAGGUAAUGGAUGUUUUACUGAGGGCCUCACGUGGAUCGACUGCAACAAGGGAUCUUGGCAGAGAGGUCUUGGAGAACAGAAGAGGUGCCUGAAGACUGGAGGAUAGCCAGAGUGACUACAGAAAGGGCAAGGGAAACAACAGGCCAGUCAGUCUCACCUCUGUCCCUGGGAAAGUGACAGAACAGUUUGUUCUGGAUGCACCUCCAAGCAAGUGGAAGAGCAGGUUAUCAGGAGUAGUCAGCAUGGAUUCACCAAGGGGAAAUCAUGCUCAGCCAACCUUGUAGCCUCCUAUGAUGGCAUCUCUGGCUGGGUAGAUGCAGGAGGACCUGUGGAUAUUGUCUAUAUUGAUGUCAGCAAGGCUUUUGAUACUGUCUCCUACAUCAUCCUGAUAGCGAAGCUGGGAAAGUAUGGGAUAGAUUUGUGGGCAGUGAGGUGGGUUGAGAACUGGCUGACUGAGCUCAAAGGGUGGUGAUCAGUGGUGCAGAGUCCAGCUGUGGACCUGUGAUUAGCAGUGUUCCCCUGGGGGUCAAUGAUGGAUCUGGUCUUGUUCAAUAUCUUCAUCAAUGACCUUGAUGAGGAGAUAGUGUCCACUCUCAGCAAGUAUGCUGAUGAUACAGAGCUGGGAGGAUUGGCUGACACAACUGAUGGCUGUGCUGCCAUUCAGCAAGACUUGGACAGGCUGGAGAGCUGGGCAGUAAGAAACCAGAUGAGGUUUAACAAAAGCAGGUGUAGAGUCCUGCACCUGGGAAGAAAUAACUGCAAUUAUCAGUACAGGUUUUUGCAUGACCUAGGGGGGAGCUCUGCAGAGAAGGACCUGAGGGUCCUAGUGGACAAGGCUGGCCAUGAGCCAGCAGUAUGCCCUUGUGGCCAAGAGUGCCAAUGGAAUCUUGGGGUGCAUUACAAGGAGCAUGGCCAGCACAUCAAGAGAGGUGAUCCUCCCCCUCUGCUCUGCCCUGGUGAGGCCUUGCCUGGAGUGGACAGGGGAAAUGGCUGUUAACUGGAGCAUAGGAAGUUCUGUGCCAGCAUGUGAAAGACGGAGGGUGGUGGAGCACUGGAAUGGGCUAAUCAGAGAGGUGGUGGAGUCUCCUCUGGAAGUGUACCUGUGCAGCCUGUGUAGGAAUCCUGCUUUUGCUGGGUGUUUGGAUGCAAUCUCUAGAGGUCCCUUCCAACCCCUACGAUUCUGUGAUUGUAGACAUUAGAAUAUUUGAAUUGCAUAAGGUGAAAAGCUUCUUCCCAGGGUAUGUUUGAAGUGUCUGAGACCAAACUGAGAUUGCUUUGGAUUUUGCAAUAGAACCUAUGUAUCCAGUAUUUUGCAAUGCGUUUCUGUAUGCUUCUGUUAAUAAAGUCUUCAUGAGUUUGAAGAAUCUUCAGCAGACUCCUAUACUUGUAAUCAAUCAAUAUCAGCUUGAAGAAAAUAUGUUUAUACUAAUUCUGAUAUAGGGCUGUUUCACAAUAUGUACUUACUGCUGUUGAAGUGUUAUUGCUGAAGCUUAGACUUUUCUGCAUUGCAGUCCUUAUCAACCAAUUUGUCAUUACGAAUUAGUAAAUUAGUUGAGAACUGGCAUGUUGUGGAUUCCCAUCAUGGGCACCCACCACCACUUGCAGAAAUUGCCACUACUCAAAUGUGUAAGUUUGAGAUAUGCAAGACCAUGUAGCAUUUGUCUUGACAAAUGUGUCUUUGAAUGCUAAGCAGAGGACCAUCAUGUCGUAGUACAAAGAAUCUCUGUAUGGUGAUGGUCUUCUCUUUCUGUGUUUUGAUAGGACUGUAUGCUGGCUGGCUGGGACCCUGCUGGACUUUUUGGCAUUUCCUCCAUUGCAUGAGUACCUGCAAUAUGCAGUAUGCUGGAUAUAUCCUUACAGCAACUUUUAUCCUAAGAAUCGUUCCUAAGAAUCAUUCAGAUCUUCUCAGAGAGGAAUGCCCUUAAAGCAGUGAUGUUAAGAGAGUAUAUUGGUUUUGUACAGGUUGUUUACAAUUUAGUGGUCUGCCAAAGAAUUCUCAGGAAGUUUUAUUUUCUGAAAUGUAGCUCAGUGCCCUGCUGUGCUCUUGAAAUGCAACCAAUGAGUUACUGCUGUAGUGAUGCAUGUAGGUACUUUAUUCAAUCACUAUGAUUACUUUAUGAAGUCCUUUAGACUUAGAAAUAAUAAAAGUCAGUGAGAUUUUUUUGUUGUUUGCAGAUGCUGAAAACUGUGUUAUGAGUUGCAUGAACAUUAACAGCCAUAUGUGACAGAAUUAACACUGUAGAAAUUGCUUAAAGUUUCCUUGUAUAGUUAAACCUUAAAAUAGCUUUAUUGCUGGAGAGGGGAAAAAAAGCAGGCAGAAUGCUUCUUAAUUUAUCCUAGUUAUUGCGCUUUUGUCAGUAUGAGUGGAAUUGGAUUCCUUUAGGAUGAACUUAAACUAGAGGACAAACUCUCAGGGUCUCAUCAGAGAGAGCAUGAAUCAGUUAACUUUGGAGUAAAAUAAUAGUAAAUACUGCAUUUCUUAGUUUCUGAUUGUAAUGCAUAGCAGAACUGAAAAACAAACAAAACCAAACAGCAGCAACAAAAAGACACCUGUACAACUGAAUAUAGGCAUUGUCUAAAAGACAUUGCUGGAGCUCUGAAACGAAUCAUUAGUGCAAUAAUCAUUAUUCAUUUAGCUGUAAGAACGAAGAAACUGCAACUCUGAUGUGACUUUUGACUCCGGAUGUUAGAAAAACAUCAGCAAAUAGUUCCUGCCAAACAUGCAGGGUCUUUGCUGUCAGAAGCUAUAAAAUGUCUUAAGACAGGCUCUUUAAACUAUUGAUUCCAGUGGGAAAUCUCACUGCAAAAUUUAAGAAGCCUGAUUGCCCUCAUUACUUGAGUCUUGCAAGCCAGACAGUUCACAGGAAAAGGACAAAGAAGAGGUCUAAAAGGAUUAUAUUUUUUUUAUUGCUCUUAGUUAUGCUUAAGAGAAUAUAUCCUAUCUUUAGCAAGACUUUAUCAUUCUGUGAAGGUUCAUCUGAAGAUGUACUUGUGUUGCACAACAGAUAGCACUGUGGUUUUAAGAUGCCUGUUCUUGACCAUGAUUUAAGUGAUCUUAGGAGAAGGACAAAGGUCUUGUGACAUUUUGUAUUUACCAAAAGCCUCUUUAAAGGUGAGUAACCCAGCUAUUCUAUUUCAGGGCACAAACAGCUUGAGCCGCAGGACUGGGUGAACCUUGUGAGGUUCAGCCAAGUCAAGUGCAAGGUUUUGCACCAUGGUUGUGCUAACUCUUGCUAUCGUUGUGCCAGGGGAUGGAAGGAUUGUGCACAGACCUGUGAAAAGAAUUUGGAGGUACUGCUGUACAGCAAGCUGAAUGUGAGCCAGCAAUGUGCCCUCUCAGCCCAGAAA